rnacentral:rRNA from 1 species
GAUGAACGCUGGCGGCGUGCCUAAUACAUGCAAGUCGAGCGAACAGACGAGGAGCUUGCUCCUCUGACGUUAGCGGCGGACGGGUGAGUAACACGUGGAUAACCUACCUAUAAGACUUGGAUAACUUCGGGAAACCGGAGCUAAUACCGGAUAAUAUAUUGAACCGCAUGGUUCAAUAGUGAAAGACGGUUUUGCUGUCACUUAUAGAUUGAUCCGCGCCGCAUUAGCUAGUUGGUAAGGUAACGGCUUACCAAGGCAACGAUGCGUAGCCGACCUGAGAGGGUGAUCGGACACACUGGAACUGAGACACGGUCAAGACUACGACGGGAGGCAGCAGUAGGGAAUAUUCCGCAAUGGGCGAAAGCCUGACGGAGCAACGCCGAGGGAGUGAUGAAGGUCUUCGGAUCGUAAAACUCUGUUAUUAGGGAAGAAAAAAUGUGUAAGUAAAUAUGCACGUCUUGACGGUACCUAAUCAGAAAGCCACGGCUAACUACGUG